rnacentral:rRNA from 1 species
UACGAGGGGGGCGAGCGUUGUUCGGAAUUAUUGGGCGUAAAGGGUGCGUAGGCGGUUUGGUAAGUCUUGUGUGAAAUCUACAGGCUCAACUUGUAGUCUGCACGAGAAACUGCCGGGCUUGAGUAUGGGAGAGGUGAGUGGAAUUCCUGGUGUAGCGGUGAAAUGCGUAGAUAUCAGGAGGAACACCUGUGGCGAAGGCGGCCAACUGGACGAGUACUGACGCUGAGACACGAAAGCGUGGGGAGCAAACAGG